UACGUAGGGUGCGAGCGUUGUCCGGAAUUAUUGGGCGUAAAGAGCUCGUAGGCGGUCUGUCGCGUCGGUCGUGAAAACUUGGGGCUUAACCCUGAGCUUGCGGUCGAUACGGGCAUGACUGGAGUUCGGCAGGGGAGACUGGAAUUCCUGGUGUAGCGGUGAAAUGCGCAGAUAUCAGGAGGAACACCGGUAGCGAAGGCGGGUCUCUGGGCCGAUACUGACGCUGAGGAGCGAAAGCGUGGGGAGCGAACAGG
rnacentral:rRNA from 1 species